UUGUCUUUUGAUGUUUUGAAGGGUGGGGGGUGUUCAUCGCUCAAAUACAACAGCAGCAGAUUUCAAACCUACCAGCAGGCUUGAGAAGAACGACCAGAACAAUGUGUCAGCAGACAGUCUAAUUGAAUGUGUUAAGAAGAAGGACCAUCAGAAGUUGAAGGAGCUGCAUAAGAAGGGGGCAGACCUGUGUGUGCAGGACCCCGUGGGCCGCACCCUGCUCCACUAUGCUGUGGAAGUGGGAAGCAAGGAGAUCGUCAGAUACAUCCUUGAUAAUGCAUCCACCGAUAUCCUGGAUGUAACAGAGAGAGAAAAUGGAGAGACGGUAUUGCACAAAGCGGCCUCGUUGUGUCAGAGGACAAUCUGUCAUUACCUAGUGGAGGCGGGAGCAUCUCUCAUGAAGACAGACUUACAGGGCGACACUCCAAAGCAUCGUGCCGAGAAAGCGAAAGAUGCAGAACUUGCGGCGUAUCUUGAGAACCGGCAGCACUACCAAAUGAUCCAGCGUGAGGACCAGGAGACUGCAGUUUGACCUUUAACCUCUCACCCUUCCCCUCCACGGGCGUCCUCAUUUUUGUGCCAAAACAACAGUAACCAAAAAUGUAUCGCUAAACUGCACGAUGGUGACACAUUCCUAGAGAGAUGGUGGCACACUUUGCUGUCUCUGAAGAGGUCCCGAGCUUUCCUGCUGGACUUAAUGUCUUUCAUUUUAUUGCACUGCCAAAACAUCUUCUAGUUUGUAUGUAUGAGACAGAAUGCAUUGCCCUCUAUGUUACUGCACUCAUCAAGCUUGCUUUUCUAGUUUGACAAUGCUGAAUGUUAAAGGAUUUAAAGAUGCAUGGGCUGGUGAGGACAGUGCUGUGUCUGUCUCCAGAGUUCUCACUGUCUGUAUAAGUGCACCUGGAGCGUUUACCGUAGCCCUGGCUCCACAGCUAGAUUUAGUAUUGCUCUGUUAUGGCUGAGCGUUAAUCUGAUCCGUGCUCCAGAACAUGAACCGGAAACAACAUUUCAGUUAGCUGAUUUCCUAAUAACAGUAAAGCCAUUAAAUGAAAUUAUGUUAAUGUAUAAUGUAACUUUCUAGAUUCCCCUGCACUGGAAGUGUUCAGGUUGGUUCAAACAUAGGAAUGUUUUCUGGGCUCUUGGUUUGCAGUAUCAGAACUAUUUAGAUCUUUUUCCAGUGUGUUAUUGGAAGGAUUUUGCAUUUUCAUAGAAUUCUCUGCUGUUUCUAACUUUAACAUGGUAAUAACAUUCGGUACUGUAAAUGUAUGCGAGUAGCUUUCUGUUUAAGAGGCAUUUGGACUUUAGCUUUGAUUGCCUUCUUUAUUCUGUUCUCUGGAUUUAUAAUUGAUGUACUGAAAUAUAGCUUCUUCCCUACAUUUUUUUUUUUAAGUAAAUAGAUGUUUAUAUAAUUUGUAGUUAUAAAAGAUGUGUUGUCAUGUUUGUAUUAUACAAUUCUGUAAAUUAGAUUUUGGUUAAUGAGAGUUGAGAACAGGUCUCUGUGAUUCAGCUCGCUUUUCUUAAAUCUUUGUGAUAAAAAACACACUCUCUGUAAGAGUUUGUUUUGUUUCAUAUUUUUUUAGUGCUGGUGUCUUAAUGCAGAUUCA